rnacentral:rRNA from 1 species
UGAGGAACAUGAUCUUCGGCGGGGGAUAGCCGGCCCAACGGCCGGGUAAUACCGCGUACGACCACAUGGGGACAUCCCUGAGUGGUGAAAGCAGCAAUGCGCCGAUGGAGUGCCUCGCGGCCUAUCAGCUAGUUGGUGAGGUAACGGCUCACCAAGGCGACGACGGGUAGCUGGUCUGAGAGGAUGGCCAGCCACAGUUGGGACUGAGACACGGCCCAGACUCCGUACGGGG